CCAGGGGGGGUUCCUAUGUUUAUUCCACCAUCAUUCCCCGAGGGUCCCUGCAGGUGCCAGAGAGAAGAGGAAGCAUCUGAAUGGCUUAUCUAGAGCAGCCAGCUUGUCCUAGACAGUUAGCUCCGCCCUUGGGGUGGGAAGAGCCUAAGAGUGUUCUGAGCAGAAGCUCGCCUCUUCUCUUGCCUCUGCCUUCUGGAUGUUUCCUCCACGGCCAACUCGGCCCAGACCAAGCCUGAAGGAGGCAGCCUGUGAUGGGAGCCCACUCAGAAGACCCCCACCUGUGCUGGGCCUCCCGGCUCCUGGGGUUCAGCAGCCUCGUCCUCACCCUAGGCACCUUCAGCACUGUGGUCAACGGUUCUGGAACUCUUGGAUCUCAAGUGGAGGAUUCUGGAAACAUAGUUUCUCUGAAGGGAACUCAAGGUGGUUCUGUGCCAUUUCAUGUGACCAGACGUCCAGAAUUAGCUGCAGGAGUCAAGCUGGAGAAGAUUUCUUGGGCCAUUAAAUCUGGAAGAAACUACACGAUCAUGCUGCAUGUGUCUCCUGGGGAAGAUGUUCCAAAAUGGGUCAACUUCCAGGACAAGUUCGAGAAGAGGGUCCAUGUGCUCAACACCACGACCCUGAGGAUUGACAACCUGACCCUUGAGGACAGUGGGCAGUACUGGGCUCAAGUCUCCUUAACAGGAGGAAGAGAAACGAACCGGUAUUUCCACCUCACUGUCUACGAGCCCGUGCCCCACCCCCAGAUCCUGGCCAAGACUCCAUCCGUCACACCAGACUGGUGCAAUGUCACCCUGGAGUGCCACGCCCCGGGAACCAGAGAGGAUGUGAAUGUGUCCUGGGAGAGCAGGGGCCUCCCCAGGGAACUGGAGCAGAGAGGGGUCCCAGGAACGGCCCCCAACCCUUGGACCGUGGCUCUGAAGCUGCCCCUGAGCCAGCCCAGCCCCAGCAUCACCUGUGUGGUCAGCAACCCGGGGGACCGGAAAACUGCCACCCGGGACCUUGGGGAAGUCUGUGCCCACGGUGAGUGCAUCCUGUCAAGGGGGAGGGACUCCCGGAGCUCAGGUCCCCUGGGUGAGGGUUCCGGUCUCUGUCCCCCAUGUUUAGGUCACCUCCUGCCACCCGUCACCCGUCCAGGAGGCUGGCAGGCACAUCCGGCUUGCUUCUGCCUUUCGGUGUCUCUCUCCUGCUCCCCUGUACCCCUCACCCCUGCUGGUCCAGGCAGCCCCCUCGGGUACCUCACCCCUGCCUCAUCCUUCAGUCCUUGUGUGUCCCGGGAGGUCUCGAGCCAGCGAGGGGGGAGGGUCAGUGGUCGGUGCCACCUGAGGGAGGCCGAGCCAGCCGCUGCCUGCAGGGUUCAGGCGUCGGGGCUCGUGUGCCCGUCUCCGGUCUCGGGGACACGCUUCCCGCCCCAGUGCUCGCCUGGAUUCCCGGAUGUGUCCUGGGCUCCCCAGGUUUCAGCCUCUGGCCAGGCUGCUGCUUCUUCCCCCAGACCUUCCAGUCCCGCGUCCUCCCCUUCCGCACUUACUCCCGUCCAGGGACCCCUUGCCUGCAGCUGUCCCACUGUGUGUGACCCCUGCCGGCCCACAGGAGGCCAUGCUGGGGUCCCGUCCAGCAGGCACUGACCUCGAGCAGGGCUCCUCACCUCAGGACCCUGCAGGAGCCCCCCCUGAGCCACCCUCACCCCUCGCCUCCUCUCGGGAGCAGAGGGGCCCCCCACCCAGAGCUGAUGCUGUGGCCAAGGGGACCGGAGGGGGGGGGGGGCCUCGGCUGCUUCUGAUUUGCCUUCCUGUCCCACCUCGGCCUCCCACCUGACUUGCUCACCGUCAGCGUGUCCCCGAGUGAGCAGCGACCGGCUUCCCCGUGUGCCGCCUCGUCCCUCCACCCCAUCGUCCCCUGCUGCCUCAGCAUCCCUGAGUCCCCGGGGAAGCUCGUCCCUCAGUGACCCCUACCCCUCUGGAGGAUCCUCUUGCCUCCCGCUCACCCUCCUCCCUCCGGCUCCUCCCUCAACUCAGUUCGGCCCUCCCCUCCUCCGGGAAGCCCUCCCUGGAGACCCGUGUACCGGCUGUGAACCUCUAGUGCACCGCCAUGGCCCUGGCUGGCUGCCUUCGGCCUUUUCCCAGCCCUCCCCCCACGGCUGAGCCGCUCAAGCGCCUGGACCCUGUCCUGUCCCUCUCAGCACCCCGGCCCCAAGCAGGGCCCGGCGCUGGUUGAGUGACAGGACCUGCCGUGCUCCCCCUUCUCCAGCCGAGACCGGGUCCCUUCACACAUCUCCACGUGCCUGGCAGCGGGCAUGUGACGUUGUCUCUUGUCUCAUCCUUCUUCACUGGCUGUGUGGGGGGCAAACAGGUCCACAUGGGCCGGACGGGUCUGCCCACCUGCCAGACAUCUUGGCGUCUGUUGGUGUCAACGUGGGAUUGAUCGUGGGAGCUUUAGUGGUCGCGCUUCUGGUCAUUGGGGUUACGGUGCGCAUAUGGCUGAUGUGUGACAGGGGCAGGAUCAGAACAGAAAGGUUUAGACUCUGCUGCUGGCAUCAAUGAAGGAGAACACGAGACAGGAGAUGGCAGAGAUGAGGGUUCGGGGGAACCACAUCUUGAACAGGAGACACCGCUCACGACAGUCUACAGUGAGGUCAGCCACCCAGGCCAGGUCUCGAGGGUGAUUUAACUGGAAGGAACAGGGAAUCCAGCCUCCCCCCGACACCUCUGUUGUGCGCGUGAUGCCUGCGGCCCUGGUCCUGCCCCCUCCCCCUCUGGCUGCUCUCAGCAGGGACCUGAUUCAUCCACCCUCCGUGAAUCUCUACGCGGACACGUCGUGCCCAAGUUGAGCAGAAGACACACAUCGCGGCAGAUCGAGGGGGACCUUCGUCGCUAAACAAGUCCAAACUGUGGUCUGGUUCCGCUCAGCCUCAGCCCCUUUGGCAACCGUCAACGGAGCCCACUCUCCCCAUGUCUGUGCCCCGUCCGUCGUCCUGUCCGGACCCUCGGCCUCUGGGACCCGUCGACCUGAAGUCUCAACUUCCAGCCUCGACCGGUUCACCACCAGCCAAUUGUCACUCCCUCGGGUCCCACUGUCUGCCCACUGGCUUCAGCAACACCUGGAGGUCCCCUUUGGUCCCUCGUUCGCUCCCCGCUGGCGUCCACACCACCGGCAGCCCGGCACAGGCAGCCUGAGAGAUGCCUUAUUCGUAGCCUCGGGCCAGCUGGUAAGACACACCAAACUUCAGAGCUGCAGGGGAGGCCUCAAGGCCCAGAGAGCCAGGCCGGGUGGGGGCAGGAGAGAGAGGAGGCGCUGGGCUCACGGGUGGGAGACACCCCGUGCUGACCUCCGCCUGCGUCGCCCUGUCCUGCCUGUCCCUGUCAUCAGCUGUCCAGCAGUGAGGUGGACGGGGUGUGGGCCGCCUCUGCUCUCCCAGCAGGUGUGUGCAGGCGGGUGUGGCCGGGACCUACAGCGUUGAUCAGGGGGGUGUGGCAGCAGCAACGCCCCCCCCCCCCCCCCCCGCCCGAAACCCAGUGUGUUCACAGAGCAGGGCCGGAGGGGGGCGUCCUCCACACGACUCUCAUCCAGGACACGCAGGAAUGAGGGGCAGGAGAGGAGGGCACCUGGCAGCCGGCCCUGUCCUCUGGUGCCUCAGUUUCCCCUUCCUGGGCUAUGGCCCUUGGAGAGGGACAAACCCUGUGAGUGGGGGUGGGGCCAUGGCACCUUUCCCAGUG